rnacentral:rRNA from 1 species
AUUGAACGCUGGCGGCAGGCUUAACACAUGCAAGUCGAGCGGGGUGAUGGUGCUUGCACUAUCACUUAGCGGCGGACGGGUGAGUAAUGCUUAGGAAUCUGCCUAUUAGUGGGGGACAACAUCUCGAAAGGGAUGCUAAUACCGCAUACGUCCUACGGGAGAAAGCAGGGGAUCACUUGUGACCUUGCGCUAAUAGAUGAGCCUAAGUCGGAUUAGCUAGUUGGUGGGGUAAAGGCCUACCAAGGCGACGAUCUGUAGCGGGUCUGAGAGGAUGAUCCGCGACACUGGGACUGAGACACGGCCCAGACUCCUACGGGAGGCAGCAGUGGGGAAUAUUGGACAAUGGGGGGAACCCUGAUCCAGCCAUGCUGCGUGUGUGAAGAAGGCCUUAUGGUUGUAAAGCACUUUAAGCGAGGAGGAGGCUCUUUUGGUUAAUACCCAAGAUGAGUGGACGUUACUCGCAGAAUAAGCACCGGCUAACUCUGUGCCAGCAGCCGCAGUAA